AAAUUGUUCCUCGACAUUGGAGCUCGUUGCAAGUGGCAAAUCCCUUAUACUUGAAGGUUGUAAUGUAGUGGCUCCGUUGCAACGCACGGGCACUGACCUAGGCGGAGGACGAGAGCGUCCCCUACAGCCACGUGCACCUCGACCAGCCGGGCGACCGCUAGGCGGCCGACGCCGGCACGAUCGACGUGGCCGUGCUCGCCGCCGGCCACUGGCUGCUGAACGGGGCCAUCUACUACAGCGGCGGCGUGGUGGUCGGCGCCCACAACGCCCCCGCGGGGCUCAACUACACCGGCGUCGGCUACGCGCGGCCGCUCAGGAUGGUGUACCGGAAGGCGGUCGAGCGGCUGAGCUCCGAGUCCGACGGCCGGCCCUCGGACCCUGGUGCUGGCCACAUUCUCGCCGGCGCACUUCGACGGCAGCCCGAUCGACAGCCCCACGGCGUGCACCAGGAUGGAGCCGUACAGGGAAGGCGAGAAGGAGGUGGCGUGGAUCUGCAAGGAGGUCAGGGACAUCGUGUACGACGAGGCGGAGGCCGCCAGGGCGAGGGGCGCGAGCGCGACAAGGGUCGAGGUGCUCGACGUCACAAAGCUGGCCACCAUGCACCCAGACGGGCACCCCGGCGUGUACAUGAACCACGACCCCUUCAAGCACGGCGUGCCGGAUAAGAUCUACUCCGACUGCCUCCAUUUCUGCCUGCCCGGUCCUGUCGACACCUUCAACGAGAUAUUACUGCAGAUCCUGAGGAAGAGGCGGUGACCCUCUGUUGUUAUAUAUUCAGCCACGCUUUUGUAUAAUUAUUGGGUUCCUUA